rnacentral:lncRNA from 1 species
AUGAGAAACAAGUAUCUAAGUUUGCUUCCAGGACUCUUGGUGCUGCUGCUGUUUCCAAUGGGACCUACAGCCCAGAACAGUAAAGCCUGCGCUCUGCGAUGCCCUCCAAACUCCUCAUGUGUCAAUGGUACUGCCUGCCGCUGUGCUCCAGGAUUCAUUUCUUUUCUGGGGAGAUCUUCACGGACCCCUUGGAAAGCUGUGAUGGUACGAAGACUUGGGGUGGUGGCAGGACAUGCAGAGAAUGUGGGGUACAGCCCAGUACCCAUGGGAGACAUGGAUAUUCGAUGGGUGCCUCAGGCUUUGUCCUCAGAACUGUCAAGCACAGAAAAAAGAAAAACAAAAAGAUACAAAGGUGGAGAGAUGAGACAUGAAUAA